CCGGAUUUAUUGGGUUUAAAGGGUGCGUAGGCGGCCAUUUAAGUCAGCGGUGAAAUUUUGCAGCUUAACUGUAACAGUGCCGUUGAUACUGUUUGGCUAGGAUUUGGUUGUAGUGUGCGGAAUGUGUGGUGUAGCGGUGAAAUGCUUAGAUAUCACACAGAACACCGAUUGCGAAGGCAGCACACUAAGUCAUUAUUGACGCUGAGGCACGAAAGUGUGGGGAUCAAACAGGAUUAGAUACCCUGGUAGUCCACACUGUAAACGAUGAUAACUCGCUGUCGGCGAUACACAGUCGGUGGCCAAGCGAAAGCAUUAAGUUAUCCACCUGGGGAGUACGACCGCAAGGUUGAAACUCAAAGGAAUUGACGGGGGCCCGCACAAGCGGAGGAACAUGUGGUUUAAUUCGAUGAUACGCGAGGAACCUUACC
rnacentral:rRNA from 1 species